GACGAACGCUGGCGGCGUGCCUAAUACAUGCAAGUAGAACGCACAGUUUAUACCGUAGCUUGCUACACCAUAGACUGUGAGUUGCGAACGGGUGAGUAACGCGUAGGUAACCUGCCUGGUAGCGGGGGAUAACUAUUGGAAACGAUAGCUAAUACCGCAUAAUAUUGAUUAUUGCAUGAUAAUUAAUUGAAAGGUGCAAUUGCACCACUACCAGAUGGACCUGCGUUGUAUUAGCUAGUAGGUGAGGUAACGGCUCACCUAGGCGACGAUACAUAGCCGACCUGAGAGGGUGAUCGGCCACACUGGGACUGAGACACGGCCCAGACUCCUACGGGAGGCAGCAGUAGGGAAUCUUCGGCAAUGGACGAAAGGCUGACCGAGCAACGCCGCGUGAGGGAAGAAGGGUUUCGGAUCGUAAAGCUCUGUUGUAAGAGAAGAACGGGUGUGAGAGUGGAAAGUUCACACUGUGACGGUAUCUUACCAGAAAGGGACGGCUAACUACGUG
rnacentral:rRNA from 1 species